UACAGAGGUCUCAAGCGUUGUUCGGAUUCAUUGGGCGUAAAGGGUGCGUAGGUGGCGCGCUAAGUCAGGUGUGAAAUUUCGGAGCUUAACUCCGAAACUGCAUUCGAUACUGCCGUGCUUGAGGACUGGAGAGGAGACUGGAAUUUACGGUGUAGCGGUGAAAUGCGUAGAUAUCGUAAGGAAGACCGAGUGGCGAAGGCGGGUCUCUGGACAGUUCCUGACGCUGAGGCACGAAGGCCAGGGGAGCAAACGGG
rnacentral:rRNA from 1 species